GAUGAACGCUGGCGGCGUGCCUAAUACAUGCAAGUCGAGCGAACAGACGAGGAGCUUGCUCCUCUGACGUUAGCGGCGGACGGGUGAGUCACACGUGGAUAACCUACCUAUAAGACUGGGAUCACUUCGGGAAACCGGAGCUAAUACCGGAUAAUAUAUUGAACCGCAUGGUUCAAUAGUGAAAGACGGUUUUGCUGUCACUUAUAGAUGGAUCCGCGCCGCAUUAGCUAGUUGGUAAGGUAACGGCUUACCAAGGCGACGAUGCGUAGCCGACCUGAGAGGGUGAUCGGCCACACUGGAACGGAGACACGGUCCAGACUCCUACGGGAGGCAGCAGUAGGGAAUCUUCCGCAAUGGGCGAAAGCCUGACGGAGCAACGCCGCGUGAGUGAUGAAGGUCUUCGGAUCGUAAAACUCUGUUAUUAGGGAAGAACAAAUGUGUAAGUAACUAUGCACGGCUUGACGGUACCUAAUCAGAAAGCCACGGCUAACUACGUG
rnacentral:rRNA from 1 species